GACAGAGGGUGCAAGCGUUGUUCGGAAUUAUUGGGCGUAAAGGGCGCGUAGGCGGCUUUGUAAGUCGGAUGUGAAAGCCCAGGGCUUAACCCUGGAAGUGCAUCUGAUACUGCUUAGCUUGAGUCCUGGAGAGGGUGGUGGAAUUCCUGGUGUAGCGGUGAAAUGCGCAGAUAUCAGGAGGAACACCGGUGGCGAAGGCGGGUCUCUGGGCCGAUACUGACGCUGAGGAGCGAAAGCGUGGGGAGCAAACAGG
rnacentral:rRNA from 1 species